GAAACCCUACCCCUUGGGAAGAUGGGUGAUAUGGCUAAUUUGAGCGGA
rnacentral:ribozyme from 1 species